rnacentral:misc_RNA from 1 species
UCACCGUGUCAAGCUUGGCUUGUUGUUGGGCCCUUUGUCACCUGGUGACAGGUCCAAAAGACAAUAACCGGUGUCAUACAGACUCUAUAUGCAACGAGCUGACAACAGCAUGCAUCUGGUGGUCGUGUGGCCCGGUUUUUACUCAUAAAUAAAUUUCUCAA